CUAUAACUAGUCUCAUGUUUCAAGUGCAAAGGCAAACUAUAUUAUCACAAUAUAAAUAUUUUCAUGUGAAAAUAUAAGAAUAAAGUCUCAUGCAUAUUCAUGUAAAACAAAAAAAGUAUAUGGCUACAAAAUGUCCUGUGUUGGCAAUAUUUUCAUCAUAAUCAGCAUUCCUGUUUCUCUUAACCAAUCUUCUAUCAUUGAUAGAAAAGAACUAUCAAUAUUUUAAUAAGAUUAAGUUAGAAAGGAAAGUAUAACAGUGCUUAUUUUAUUCCACUCAGACUCCACUACAGACCUGGAUGUGGUCGUGCCUGUGGAGGCAGAAGGGCUGUGGGGAGUUUUCAUUCAGCAGCCUAGUCUGUAGGCUGAGGAGGAGGAGAAAAAGGAAUGCAUCUAGAUGUCUCCGAGGUGGCAAAGGCUGAAUACAAUCUGUGUAUAAGCCUACUGGCCCAGUUCAAACCUGUUUUGUACAAGGGUCUACUGUAUAAUGGGUAAGGAAAAAAUUAAAUCUUUUUGGGAUGCCAUUUUCACAACAAUAAGUAUUGUGUUCAAUUUACAAGGUGAUGUCAGAAGACAUUAUAUUUAAAAAAAUCAUAAUCACAAAGAAAUUUCAAAACUGAGAAAUAUUUAUUUCAUUAAAUUCUAAUGGGUCAAAACCAACAUAGUUUUGCAGAUUUGCUGAAACUUUCAGGAAAUAAUGUGUAUUUCACUGGGUAAAACAGAAAAAGUCAUAUUUGUGCUGAUGUGUAUUACAUAAACCAAAAUAGAAAUUAUAUGCUUAUCUGAUUAGAAUAUGUUCUUUAAUUUAUUUAUUUUAUAUUGACAAAUAAUUGUAUAUGUUCAUGGGGCAUAAUAUGAUGUUCUGAUGUUUCCUUACAAUGUGGAAUGUUUAAAUCAGACUAAUUAAUAAGUCCUUCACCUCACAUACUUAUUUUUUUAUGAUGCCAAUUUUAAAAAAUCUAUUCUUCUAACAAUUUUAAAAUAGAUAAUAUACUAUUAUUUAUUAUAGUCACAAUUCUGUACAAUGUAUCACUAAAACAUAUUUCUUCUAUCUGAUAGAAACUUUGUACCCUUUGAUCAACAUGUCCCUUUUCCUCACUGACCACUCUUCCCUAUCCCCUGGCAAUCCCCGUUCUACUCUCUGCUUCUAUGAGUACAACUUUUAAAGAUUCCACAUAUAAGUGAGAUCGUGUGGUAUUUGUCAUUCUGUGCCUGGCUUGUCUCAUUUUGCACAACAUCUUCCAGGUUCAUCCAUGUUGUUGCAAAUGACGAUAUUUAUUCCUUUUUUACAGAUGAAUAAUAUUUCAUUACUUACACAAACAUACCUCAGAUAUAUUGUGGUUUGGUUCCAAACAGCCAUAAUAAAGUGAAUAUUGCAAUAUGGCAAGCCACAUAAUUUUUUUCUGAUUUCCCAGCACAUACAGAAAUUAUGCUUACACUAUACUGUAGUUAAGUGCAAUAUCAUUAUGUCUAAAAAGUACAUACUUUACUUAGAAAGUACUUUAUUGCUAAAAUGUUAACAGUAAUCUGAGCCCUUAGUCAUAAGUUUUUUCUUAUAGAAUAUGUUGCUUCAAGGUUGAUGGCUGCUGACUGAUGAGACUAGUGGUUACUGAAUGUUGGGGUAGCUGUGGCAAUUUCUUAAAAUAAGAAUGCAAAGAAAUUUUCCGUAUUGAUUGACUCUCCCUUUCAUGAAAGAUUUAUCUGUAGCAGACAAUGAUAUUUGAUACUAUUUUACUCACAGUAGAACUUCUUUCAAAAUACAAAUCAAUGUUCUCGAACCCUGCUGCUGCUUUAUCAACUAACAUUGCAUAAUAUUCCAAAU
rnacentral:lncRNA from 1 species